UUCGUCUCUUUCUUACGAAGA
rnacentral:piRNA from 1 species